UCUCCUGGGCUGGCUGCUGUUGCUGCUAGCCCGGCGGCCCCGUCGCCUGCUUCGGCCACUGAUGAGCCCGACUCGCCGGACUCGGCUCCGGUCUCGUCCACGUCCUCUGCUACACCAUCUUUGCCGGCAGAUUCUGCUGUCACUCUUCGGCCGCGCACACGGAGCCAGUCCGGUAUUUUUCGCCCGAAGGAGUGGAUGGAUGGCACGGUUACGUGGCUUGCUGCGUGCAUGGCUCACACUGCUAGCGAUCCUACUGCAGAACCUCAUCACUUUCAGGCUGCAUUGAGUAUUCCUCAUUGGCGUGCUGCAAUGGAACAAGAGUUUCAUGCCCUCCAACAGAAUGAUACUUGGCGGCUUGUUCCUCCAAAGUCUGGCGUCAACAUCAUUGAUUCCAAGUGGGUUUUCAAAGUCAAGCGACAUGCUGAUGGCUCCAUUGAACGGUAG
rnacentral:rRNA from 1 species